GUGAAAGAUACCAGAGGGACAGUCAAACUCAUGACUGUUCCUAGAAAUUAAGAGAAAUACAAGAUCCAAUUUCCAAAAAGACUUAUUCGAUUCACAUUGUUAUUUACAUCAAUUAAUACAAGUUGUCUGUUUUAUAUUCAAAACAAAAUAGUUUUUAUCUGACAUCUAUUGCAACUCUUUGCAGAAUGCGGAAAAGGUAGAUAUAUGUAUUGUAUACAGCUGCAUAACAUCUGUUUGUAUGUAUUUGACUGUAAAACUAUAUUAUAAGGUUUCCG
rnacentral:lncRNA from 1 species